AUUGAACGCUUGCGGCAGGCUUAACACAUGCAAGUCGAACGGUAACGGGCCUUCGGGUGCCGACGAGUGGCGAACGGGUGAGUAAUGCAUCGGAACGUACCAUUGAGUGGGGGAUAACGUAGCGAAAGUUACGCUAAUACCGAAUAUUCUGUGAGCAGGAAAGCAGGGGAUCGCAAGAACUUGCGCACUUUGAGCGGCCGAUGUCGGAUUAGCUAGUUGGCGGGGUAAAGGCCCACCAAGGCUACGAUCCGUAGCGGGUCUGAGAGGAGGAACCGCGCAACGGGGACUGAGACACGGACCAGAUCCCUACGGGAGGGAGCAGUGGGGAAGUUUAGACAAUGGGGGCAACCCUGAUCCAGCCAUGCCGCGUGAGUGAAGAAGGCCUUCGGGUUGUAAAGCUCUUUCGGCCGGGAAGAAAUCGUGUGGGCUAAUACCCUGCAUGGAUGACGGUACCGGAAUAAGAAGCACCUGCUAACUACGUGCCAGCCGCCGCCGUAA
rnacentral:rRNA from 1 species